rnacentral:lncRNA from 1 species
CGCCCUCCUUGUAGGACUAUCCCUCUGCCAUGUGGAACCCGGUGUACUUCCUGCUUUGAUCAAUGGGUGUGGGGGCUCUAUGGCCAGGGUGUGGCUUGCCGUGUUCUCUCUUCUGCUGACACAAUGACUGGCAAUACUCAGUCCAGAGUGAAGAAGAGGCCGAGCAGAGCUGCAGCUGACCUACAGUGGACAUACAAUACGAGGAAGAACCUUUGCUGUUGUGAGCCUCCGAGCUUUGAUUUGUUCCUGUAGCAUAACCCAGCUUAUCCUGGGUGAUCCAGCAAGCAAACCUUUCUCAGCUCAGCCACACAUAUUCACACCUGUGGGGAGAUGGGGGAACUGUGGCCCAGAGAAGUAAAGUAACUUGCCUAAAGUCACACAGCUGGUCAGCGGCCAGGUUGUGGCUACACUCGGGUACUCCGAACAUCCAGCGAGGAAUUGCAGGUAGAUUUGAAGUGAGGCUUAAGGAAUAUGAUCUUAUGAAAAAAUCAAGAAGUAGGAAUUUUCAAAAUCUCCAUGUAUUUUCACCUGUUAACUCAUUCAGAAGGCAGAAACUGCAUCUCAGCAAGCACUCCAUAAACAUCUCAAUGAGUGAACCCCAAACAAAUGCUGGUUCCCCUCUUCAAGUAAAGAAGCGGUAUAAGCUACUUUUAAAAUGAGACUAAAAAAAUCCUUAAAACAUUUUGAUUAAAAAGUAGAAAUAAAACUUAGGUAACAUAUCUGUGGGAAAAGCUAUUUUAAUCAUUACAUUUUUACUGAAGUGAGACCAGAAUAACUUACAGGACAGUUUGAAUGACUGUAAAUUGCUGAAUUAGGCACAUAAAAUCAGAUUACUUAAGAGGUGCUACCCGGCUGUCUGGCUACUUUUAGAGAACCUAUCAUUUCUAAGAUUUAUUCGAAAAUAUCUUGUUUUAGUAUUUAAGUGUAUCAGUACAGGUACCUAUUCCUCUAUUGUUAGAAUAAACAUAAUUUUGUACUGGAGGCUCCAGGGCGACAGGUGUCGAAAUUCCCACAUAAUUAAGAAUUAUCUCAUAUAUCCCACACAGUUUUUAAAGUUCUGACAUUCUUGUAGGUGAAAAACCUAUUUAUAAUGAUCUGAGUUUAGGAGACAUCUAUUUUCAGCUACAAUGGAACAGCUCAUAGCAGAUGAACACUCCUACUGAGAAGAAUUAGAAAAGCUGGAUAAAAUACCGCCAAUUACUCAAUCAAUAUGCAAACAAACUGGAGAGAUGUCAAGGCAGUUAAGACAAGAAGCCAAAACUAAAGUCAGGCAUGGGAGUCGAGGGGUCUACUAAGAAGCAGGCUUUCAGCAGUCUUCCUGGGCUGGGGGGUUGGGGUGGCAAAAUAAAUAAAUAAAUAGGAGUGCAGGGGUGCAGGACACCAACUCAGCUAAAACUCGAGGAAACAAAAUCCCUGAAAAAAGUGAGUCAGAGAGAAGAGAACCCUGUAUUUGGUGGUUUUCCCUUGAGACAGCUGCCAAUACCUAAGUCAUUCAGGGCAGCAGGUUAAGAGGCUGAAAGCAGGUUGAGAAAGUUUGGGACUUCUGGUAAUUUCAAAGGGUGGAGGUGUUCAGGACAUGCCCAGAGGAGGGGCCAUAGGAAAUCCUGUAGACGGUCAGUUGAGAUCUCUGGAAAGUUACACCCACUUGAUUUCAGUAAUUGAUCAUUUGAGCCACUUGUUUUUUCUUGCUUUAAAUUCACUCUUAGGUUUUAUUUUUUUUAUUUUUAUUUUUUUGAGGAAGAUUAGCCCUGAGCUAACAUCUGCUGCCAAUCCUCCUCUUUUUGCUGAGGAACACUAGCCCUGAACUAACAUCUGUGCCCAUCUUCUUCCACUUUCUAUGUGGGUCGCCUACCACAGCACGGCUUGCCAAGCGGUGCCAUGUCCGCACCCAGGAUCCAAACCGGCAAACCCUGUGCCACCAAAGCGGAACCUGUGCACUUAACCACUGUGCCACCAGGCCAGCCCUACUCUUAGGUUUUAAAUUCAUGCUCUCAGGGUUUACCCAGAGACAGGCGCAGCCUUACAAAGAUGGCAAUCUUGCCUAACCAGCUCUGACCCUGCCUGCAGAUGCAGAGCAACGCUGACCAUUAUCUCCAAAGCAACAGUAAGAAGGACAGCUAACUUCUCCACAGUAACAAUAGAAACCAGAAGAAAAUAGAGUGGCAUCUUUAAAGUGUGGAAGGAAAAUCCUAGCAUUCUACAGGCAGUUAACAUACUCUUUGAAAAAAGGAUGCAAAAUAAAGACAUUUCCAAACAAACAUAAACUGAGAGAAUUCAUUAGGAGAUUCACACUAAAAGAUAUCAUAAUUAGAGUUCUUCAGGAAGGAGGAAAAAGACCCCAGAUAAAAACAUGAAAAUACAGGAAAGAAUGAAGAGCAGUAGAAAUGGCAAUUGUUGGUAAAUGCAGAUGAAUAUUCAACUAUAUAAAACAAAAAUAAUGUCUGACAAAGUAUGGAGGCAUAUAUAGAUAUCUAUCUCAACAACAAUAAACAUGUGGAAAGUAGUGAAUGUUCUAAUUUAAAUUAGAUUCUAUUAAGUAAAGAAUGUCACUAAAAGAAUAAAUAAGUACCAUGAUAAUAAAAGGGGAGAAGGAUAUAAUAAUAUUUCAUUAAUCCAAAAUAGGCAAGAAACAAGAGGAAAAGGUACAUAAAACUUGUGGGACAAGUAGAAAAAAAUAAUAAAAUGGCAGAUGUGAAUCCAAAUACCUCAGUAAUAACAUUAAAUAUAAUUGGAUUACAUAUUCCAAUUAAAAGACAACAAUUAUCAGACUACAUUUAAAAAAACUCUAUGCUACAGGAGAUAAAACCUAAAGACUACAAACACAAAAGGGUUGAAAGUAAAAGGAUGAAAAACAUUAUACAAACACCAACCAAAAGUAACUGAUACACCUACAUUAAUAUCAUAUAAAAGAAACUUUAAGACAAUCAGCUUUGGUAGAGAUAACCAAGGGCAUACCAUAACAAUAAAAGAGUCAAUCUACCAUGAAGACAAAACAAUUCUAAAUUUACACCCAUGUAGUACUCUUACCGGCUCUUACUUAAUAUCAGCCUUGAUAUUGGCUCCCCUACAGUGAACCUGGCACAUAGGGUGUUAAAACUAAAAACCUGCAUUCCUGGUUCCCUGGGUCUUUAGUUACACUCAUAUGUACAUGUUUGUGUCUUUAGUCUCUGACUCCCUGAGCUUUACAACCAAACAGAAGUUACAAAUUGUUAAAGCCCAGAUGGCUGGGCUCCCACUAAAGUUGUCGCUAAUCCCAGGACCUUGAAGUUCUUUUACGGAGAAACUAAUGUCCAGAGAAUAUCAAGAAACUUAAGCUUCCCAGGCUCAACUCCUCGGCUUCCUGACGUCAGAGUCUCCCGUCCACCAUGGAGAUGAACAGUCAAGGACGCUCACCUGAGAAAUCUUUUGUCUCCUCUGCUGGAAGCAGCCCCAGAUGCAGGCGGAUGGGAAAAUGCAGACCAAGAAGGCCACGGCCCCCUCCCCUACCUAAAACCCCAAAUAAAAACCCCUACCCAUAUCUCAAAGGGGAGCAAGCAACUUUGGGGGCACUAGCCCUUGCUUUGCUCUCUCUGCCUGGCAAAGUAAAGCUUUCCUUUUUCUCCCAAGACUCUGUUCUCGUUAUUGGAUUGGCAUCAGGAUCAGAGACUGAACUUUUGGUAAUAGUACAAGCCUGAGAGUGGGCUUUUCAUUUAUAACACAAGUACCUGACUUAAGCUUUGAUUGUGAGGCAUCCACUCCAAACAGAGCUAUCUGGAAUAAACACACUGCCAGCCACAGGACCAGAUAAAGAGCCAGGCCAUCUCCCUGUACUGAACAGCCUUUGUUUCAGAGAUCUUGGUGGAUUUCAGUAAUUGACCAAUUGGGCGACUUGUUUUUUCUUGCUUUAAAUUCACUCUUAGGUUUUAAAUUCACUAAUAAAGAGUGAACCCCUGAAACCUUAUGCUCCUACCCUCAAUCCCAUAAAAGCAGAACACCAGGCCCGUGCACUCUUUACCUGUGACCUGUGUGGCCCCAGGUGUGCUAUGUAAUUUCCAGUCCUGC